AUCACUUCUCUGCCUUUUGGCUAAGAUCAACUGUUAUAUCUGUUCUUACCAUUUUAAAUCAAUGAUUGUUAACUCAUGCAAUUCUGAUCCCAGGAGGCAUUUAGCAAUAGCUAGAAACAUUUUUGAUGGCCCCAGUUAGGAAUAGUCACUCACUGGAUAGAGUAGAAAGACCCUGUGAGCCAUCCCAU